UCUUCUUUAAUUUUUUAUUUUUGUUUUGUCUUUAUUUUAGUUAUUUUCUUUAAUUAUUUUUUUUAAUAAGUCCAAAAUUGUCAAAAAAAGGGCCGUGGUCCAAAGUUUCUUCACGCCACAAUUCCAGGCAAAUUUACUCAGGUCUACUCUUUCUUUCCCAAUUUACCAGAAACGUGUUUCAUCCCUUUUAAUUCCAUUCAAGCACCAUUCAUUCCUAUUAAACAACAUUUCCUUUUGUUAUCAACCUUGAGCCUUUAAAUAGGAGUAAAAAUCAGAGAGAAAAAAAAAACACGAUUCACACAACCUGAAAACAGAAAAGAAAACCACUAAUCACAAAUCAUCAAAACUUCUCAAACCCUCGUCACACACCAUCAUCAAAUCAUCAUCACAGAAUUUCAAUCAAAAAAACCAAUUUCAAUCAACCAAAACCUGAAAUCAAAAUUAUCAACAGCCAAUUUUCGAUUCCAGCACCCGCAGGAGAAGAAUCCAGGAAACAACAACAUCAACUUUUCAAAACGUAUCACCACCAUAUUUCCAAAACCCAACACCAACGAUCACCGAACAUCGUAACCGAUUCACCAUAAACCCAAAUCCAGCCAUACAACCCAUUUUCCGAAAACGCAACCGUGAAAAAUCCAACACGUCCAGAAUACCAAAUCAAACAAAUCCAUUACGAAAGGUAGUUAGAUCUAGGACUUUAUAUAUUGUUUUUUUGUUUGUUUUGUUUUAAUAUAAAAAAAUCAAAAAAAGAAGAAAAGGAACCGUCAAAAAAAGAAAAGAAGAAAAGAGAAGAAU
rnacentral:lncRNA from 1 species